CACAAGCGAAGGAUCUGCGGCAUUCUUAUAUUGUACAGUGGAUCCCGAACCAGACAAAAUUGUAUGGAAAAGAGACAAAAGUCCACCACCAACGAAAAAACUUCCUCAUAACAAUCGUAAAUACUAUUAUGGCACGACAUCUCCUACACUUGUGAUAGAAACCCGAACAAAACAAUGGAUGAAGCUCACUACCAAUGUACGGCAGAAGCCAGUGGAAACGUAGCGGAUGGUGUCAUUGUAAAAUUAGAAGUUUCUGAUGUCGAACCACGAAAGAGCAGGGGUGCAACGAUGACAAUUGAUCCUACGUAUAGCCAGUCCUCUGCGCCAGACCGUGAACUGAUCCAGGAAAAACAAGCUGAUGUCGAACCACGAAAGAGCAGAGGUGCAACGAUGACAAU